GUGGUAAUGCCGGAUGUUCCACAUGAUCGCAUGUGAUUGUGGGAAAGAUUCUAUCGGCGUGGGAUGGGGUCGCGUCCUAUCAGCUUGUUGGUGAGGUAACGGCUCACCAAGGCUUCGACGGGUAGCCGGCCUGAGAGGGCGACCGGCCACAUUGGGACUGAGAUACGGCCCAGACUCCUACGGGAGGCAGCAGUGGGGAAUAUUGCACAAUGGGCGCAAGCCUGAUGCAGCGACGCCGCGUGAGGGAUGGAGGCCUUCGGGUUGUAAACCUCUUUUGUUUGGGAGCAAGCCUUCGGGUGAGUGUACCUUUCGAAUAAGCGCCGGCUAACUACGUGCCAGCAGCCGCGGUAAUACGUAGGGCGCAAGCGUUAUCCGGAUUUAUUGGGCGUAAAGGGCUCGUAGGCGGCUCGUCGCGUCCGGUGUGAAAGUCCAUCGCUUAACGGUGGAUCUGCGCCGGGUACGGGCGGGCUGGAGUGCGGUAGGGGAGACUGGAAUUCCCGGUGUAACGGUGGAAUGUGUAGAUAUCGGA
rnacentral:rRNA from 1 species